CCGGCCAUGGCGUUUUUGAGAUCUUCCACCGCUCGAUCUUGUUUUCGGUUCCCUUACUCUUCAAUCCCCGGUGUCGCGGUUUGUUGUUCCUCUCUUUCGCUCUCUCCCGUGUGCUUUUGGUUGCGUCUGGUUCCAGAUCUAGGUGAGUUCAUGUCGCCCUCCCGCCGCGCCCUGCUGUAGUUGUAGAUGCCUGAUUUGGUGUCUUCCCGUUGGAGAUGGAGAUGCAUGAUUUUGUUGUCUCCCCACGCCCCUGAUGUAGUUAUAGAUGCGUGAAGUUGUUGUCUCCCCGCACCCCUGAUGUAGUUGUACAUGUGCGAUUUUGUUGUCUCCCCGCUGGAGAUGGAGAUGCAUGAUUUUAUUGUCUCUCCACACCCCUGAUGUAGUGGUUGUUUGCCUUGUUUCCCCCAGUCCGAAGUUGGGGGAUUAUGUAUAUGCACCCUGUAGGUGCGCGAUUCCGCGGCUUUGUGUCCUGCUCUUUUAUGUUUUGAUGCUUCCUGCUCAUGUUUAGUUUCAUUUUUGCAGUCCCUGGUUUUACCUCCUGUUUCGUUGUUGUAAAUGCAGGUGUUUAGCUUCCUUUUCUGCCAUGUUUUUUACCCUAUGUGUUUGUCUGAUGUUGACUACAAGCAGACAUGUAAUUUGAGUCCAAUUUCAGUGUAAUUUCUCCGAGCCCAUUCAGUGUAAUUUACUGAAUAUAUCGAAUGUAAUUUGUCUGAUGUUGUCCCAGCCCAAUUCAUGUUUAGCUCUUUUUCAGUGUAUGCACAGUGUUAUUUUGAUCAUAAUUAUAGUGUAAUCCCAGUAUUUCAAUGUAAUUUGUCCUAGCCUUACAGUGUAGUUUAUCCAAUAUCUUUCCCGCUGUGUUGUUGAGUGAAUUUUACUGUGUUAUUUGAGUGUAAUCCAUCUCAUUAUUACAGUGCAGUUUGUCCUGGACUUACAGUGUACUUUCACCUAAUAUUCCAGUGUGGAAAUUACAGUGGAUUUAUAGUGUAAUUUGAAUGUAGUUGCAGUUUAAUUUGUCCCAACUUUACAGUGCAAUUUUGUCCCCAGACUUACCCUAAUUUUUCCAGUGUGUCAUAGUGCAAUUACAUAUCCCAAUUUACAGUGCAUUUUGUCCCAGACUUACUGUGUAAUUUUACCUAAUUUUUCCAGUGUGAAUUGUCAUAGUGUAAUUACAUUUGAUUUAUAGUGUAAUUUGAAUGUCAGUUGCAGUGUAAUUUUUAUCCCAAGUUUACAGUGCAAGUUUGUCCCCAGACUUACAGUGUAUUUUACCUUAUUUUUCCAGUGUGUCAUAAUGUAAUUACAGUGUAGUUUAUCCCAAUUUACAGUGCAAUUUGUCACAGACUUACAGUGUAAUUUACCUAAUUUUUCCACUGUAAAUUGUCAUAGUGUAAUUACAGUGGAUUUAUAGUGUAAUUCAAAUAUAGUUAUAGUGUAAUGUCCCAACUUUACAUUGUACUUUACCCAAUAAUCCCAGUGUGAUUUGUCAUAGGAUUUGAGUGGAUUUUUACUGUGUAAUUUAGGUCAGUUUGCACAGUAAUUUUGUCUAGAUUUUCAGUGUAAUUAAGUCCAGUUUAGCUAGUUUUCACUGUACUUUGCUUGGAUCAGUACUGUAGGGCUUUCGAAUGUUUCGUGCAGCAUAAGUUUUGUUAGCUUUUACUUUUCUAUGUAUUUUAAACAUCUUCCGGAAGUUUUAGCAACUGUAUCUCACAUUAAGUAUGAGUUCUUCCUAUGAUAGUCUCAGUAGAUCCUCUUCAGUUACUGCCCUCAUCAUGCUCCUCUCAUGACACAUUUGAAGAGAAGAAUGUCAGUGUUAGCGUAAUCAUGAGCAGCCAAGCGUUUAGAAAUAGAUGAUAGUGUUUGCAACGUCUAUCUGCUUGUUUUGUAAUUUGUAUUUUAUUUUUUGCACUGGCUUGUGCUCUCUACUUACUAGGAACUUACAAUGUAUUUAUCUCAGUUUUUAAUUACUGUAGUUUGAAUUAUAAAAUUUCUAGUUGCUUACACUGGAAGUUCCUAGUUGAAUUCACUGGGAUUUUCUAUUUGCAGUGGGAUUGUCCACUAGAAUUUCAUAGGUGCUUACACUGUAAUAAAACUUGUAAGUACAUGCAUUUAAAAAACUUG
rnacentral:lncRNA from 1 species